GGCACACAUCCACAGAGCACUCUUCAAAUCAUCUACACAGUGGUUAUCCAACUAGGAUUAUAAAGGCACACAUUGACAUUGACCACUGUUCCAGUCAACGACACAGUCGCUAUCCAAGUAGCAUUAUAGAGCUGUCAUGCAACGCAACAACUGUGCUAUCUGCCAUCGCACAUCAACGAAGAAGUGCAGCCGCCCACAUUCCACCUCACGUCUGUCCGACCAGCUGCAAUCCUCGAG